rnacentral:snRNA from 1 species
CAACUCUUGCGGUAGAAGCC